AAUUCUCAACCCUCUUGUGCUGUUUUGUACAGGAGGGCUUGGAUUGUGGAGGCUUGCUGGCCGCUCGUUUGAGGUCAGCUCCUCUGAAAUGCAUUAGCGGAAACCGUUUGCGAUCUGCCACAAGUGUGAUAAACUAUCUACACUGGCUAGGGGGAUUGCUCUCUGGGUUAUUCUGCUUCUAAUUGUUUCAACUCAAUGAAACAACGUCUUGAAU
rnacentral:misc_RNA from 1 species